rnacentral:lncRNA from 1 species
ACAAAAUGCUCUCAUCAUUUUCACCUUAGCUGCAUCUAUGAGUGGAUGGAGAGAAGUGACAACUGUCCAGUUUGUGGAAAGGAGUUGGAAUUCGAUGAGACAAUAUACUCUUGAUAAUCUGGAGGUGGAUAAAGGCAACAUCUAAAGAUAGUAGUCAGGCUGCAGUGAAAAGAAAAAUCACUAAGAAUCAGAGAGAAUUUGAAUUUGAAGUCAAUAUUCUAGGAAUAAUUCAACACAAAAAAUACUGUGUAUCCCGUGCUUGGGAUGGAUCUACUGAUCUGGAAACUAUUAACACGCAGCAAGUUCAUUCAAGCACUUCUGAAAAUGCCAUGAAUUUG